rnacentral:rRNA from 1 species
CUCCCUUCGGGGAGUGAGUACAGUGGCGAACGGGUGAGUAACGGGUGGAAAACCUGCCCUUCAAUGGGGGAUAACAAUUCUAACGAGCUGCUAAUACCGCAUACGACCUUUUGAUCGCAUGGUCGAAAGGUGAAAGGUGGCGACCUCUUCGGAGAGCUGCCGUUGAAGGAUGGUUCCGCCUCCCCAUUAGCUAGUUGGUGGGGUGAUGGCCUACCAAGGCGACGAUGGGUAGCCGGCCUGAGAGGGUGUCCGGCCACACUGGGACUGAGAUACGGCCCAGACUCC